rnacentral:rRNA from 1 species
GUGAUUGAUGAACUUUUAGAUGAACUUUCUGGAGCUGCUUGGUUCACUAAGUUAUACCUUAGAGCAGGCUACCAUCAAAUCAGGUUAGCUGCUGGGGAGGAGUAUAAAACUGCAUUUCAAACCCACCUAGGCCACUAUGAAUUUUUGGUAGUGGCCUUUGGUCUUAGUGAACGUCUUAGUGAAGCUCCAGGCACUUUCCAAGGAGCAAUGAACACCACACUUGCACCAGUUAACAAGAAAAAUACCUUGGUUUUCUUUGAUGACAUAUUGAUUUUUAGCAAGACAUAUCAGGAGCAUUUGAAGCAUGUUAGGGAAGUGUUGGCCCUGCUCAGAGCUGAUCAGUGGAAGGUAAAAAUGUCCAAAUGUGCUUUUGCUCAA